GACCCACCCCCAGGCCCAAUUCUGAUUUCUCACCAACCUAACAUAGCCCAACUCUAAGCCCAUUCCAACAGCCAUACCCGACCCACCCCUAUACGUCUUCUUCAUCCAGAAGUCGUGAAGAAGAACAAAAAUAUCCACCGUACAACAACGAAAAUCGCGAGAACUCAGACUCAACGGUUCAGCGACUGAUCACAUCUAUCCGGGAAACCCGGUAAAACUGCAGCAAGCGGCGUGAACGUCUUCUGAUUCUAAGUUCAAAGAAGAUGGCCGCCCAGAUUUUCUUAGCUUGCCGUUAGUAUUCAAAGAUAGUGGUGGAAUCGCUCUUCUCGUUGUUCUAGUAUCGCUGCUUUGGUAAAGGUGAUGUCCUUAUUCCUACCUCUCGUUUUCCUUUUGAAUGAUGUAUGACUAUUUUGUUUUCUACCUAAAUGAUCAUUAUUUUGGACUGUUCAUUAUUGGUUUGUUACAUUUUUUUAGAUAAUAUAGUAUUGUGAGUUGUUUGUUAACAAAAUAUUACUAAUUAAAAUGAUAUAGUAUUGUUAGUUGUUUGUUGACAAAAUAUUACUAAUUAAAAUGGGCUUUAUUUAUCUUAUGUAUUGUGAUUUGAAGCUCGUUCAUCAGGCUAUUUGUCAGUGAUUCUUUCAUAGUUCUUUCUUUUUUAAAAAAUAAAAUAAAAUUGAACUUUGCGAAUUUGUGAUUUAAGCUUUAUCUUAUUUUUCUUGUUGGCAUGAUCAAUCUUUCUUGCCGUCUUAGCAUUCAAAGGUAGUUAAAAUAGUGUUAAUCCUUCCAAAUGGUUAGUCUCAUGGUUUUGUUUUUUCUUGGUUUAAACUCGUUUUGGUCUUAACAAGUUGCUAACAUGUCUCUGUACAACAACACCUAAAGCUGCCGAGUCAAACAUGUUGUUGUGCUUGAUUUGUCCUACCCAAGCGUUCGUCCCUCUGUUGUUCGUUGUGGGCUUUUAUUGGCUAUCGUUUUUGAAAUAACUGGAAUCUCAGAAUCAGUGAAUGUGGCAGUAACAUGUCGUUUAUUAUGUUUCUAGUGUUGAUAAUAUCCUUCCCUCUUUAUUUAAGUGUUGUUACCAUCGUAUUGUCCAUUGCGUCAUGUUAGAAUUGAGCUUAUGUCUGCGUUUCAUUUAGAUUCUCGUCAAAAAUAUUUGUUACUAUUAGUGGGCUUAAGGUCAAGGAUGAGAUUUUGUUGCCUUCCAAACCUUGGCUUGUUCCAUCACUCGCUUUCCUUUAAACGAAUGUACAUCCAUAAGGUUUUGAAUUAGACAUCCAGCAUUUUCUUUAAUUUAGAUUAUUAGGUUGCAGAUUUUUUAAUUAAAUUUAUGUUAAGUCUGUCAUUGAUACAUGUGCUUGUUGGACUUAAUGUUCUCAAUGUGGUUAUCGCACCAAUUUGUCUAAAACAUGGAUUUGUGAGUGAUAAGUUUGCUGCAAUUCUACCUCUCGUUAUGGCUUCUUUGUUUCUUUUAUUUCUUACUUUGGAUAGUGUAUGAAAUGAUUAAGUUGCUUUAAACUUUACAUAUUUUAGCUUAGCUUUUCAUUGUAAGAAAUGUCUCUCCAUGCCAAGUUCUAUUAAUUCAUUUAUAUGGUGUUAAAUGUAUUUGGCAAUAUCUUUAAUCAAGCACAAUCAAUCUUGGAUUGGCUACUGAUACAUUUUUUAAAUCCAAGAGCAUUGUCUUAGUUGUAAAAUUUUUGUACAGUGGCAUUAUAAUUGAGUUUUGUUCUGUUUGAAUUAUUUUAGCAAGAUAUGCGAUGGACUAAUCCUUAUUAUCUUGCCUUACAUGCAACCCCCCUUGAGUUGAGUCAAUUUUACUCUCUUCUAUCUCCUCCCUAUGCAUUUCGGAUGUUCCAUGGAGUUUCAAACUCAGUAGUAUCGAGUUGACCUCAUCAUUCAAAGGAAUUGGAAGCUGAGGCAGGUCCCAAAAGCACCCAAAAAAUGGUUGUAUACGAGAUGUAUACAUUGUAUACAUUCAGUACACAUAGAUAUACAGGUUGAAAAAUGUGAAACUAUUGGUCUGAGGCAAAAUACAGGUGUUCGGGAGCCAGAAAUACAUGGAAAGAGCUGGCAUACGUGCUGAUAUACAGCCAAUGUAUACAAAAACAGGAUUGGGUUAAAACCCAAAAAUCUGCAGCGAAAUUGGCCCAAGAAGGGGCCCAAUUUCAUUAUCUCUUUCAGUCUACUAAUUGUUUUGAUUAUGUUAACUAAUUUCAUUUAACUCUAACUUUAGAAUUGGUAAUUAACCUACUUAAAUCCUCAAAAGAUGAGUUAUUUUCUUUAUGCUGGUUUAC